rnacentral:misc_RNA from 1 species
CAGAGUUCAUGCCCUUCGGGGUAGACCUCCCACCCUAUGUAUACAUUACCUUUGUUGCUUUGGCGGGCCGCCAUUUGGCCACCGGCCCCGGCUGGUGCGCGCCCGCCAGAGGAAAACUUUUUAAACUCUUGAAAUAAUUGGGUUGUCUGAAGUUAAUUGUACAAUAAUUAUUAA